rnacentral:rRNA from 1 species
ACUUAAAUUGAAGAGUUUGAUCAUGGCUCAGAUUGAACGCUGGCGGCAGGCCUAACACAUGCAAGUCGAACGGUAACAGGAAGCAGCUUGCUGCUUCGCUGACGAGUGGCGGACGGGUGAGUAAUGUCUGGGAAACUGCCUGAUGGAGGGGGAUAACUACUGGAAACGGUGGCUAAUACCGCAUAACGUCGCAAGACCAAAGAGGGGGACCUUCGGGCCUCUUGCCAUCAGAUGUGCCCAGAUGGGAUUAGCUUGUUGGUGAGGUAACGGCUCACCAAGGCGACGAUCCCUAGCUGGUCUGAGAGGAUGACCAGCCACACUGGAACUGAGACACGGUCCAGACUCCUACGGGAGGCAGCAGUGGGGAAUAUUGCACAAUGGGCGCAAGCCUGAUGCAGCCAUGCCGCGUGUAUGAAGAAGGCCUUCGGGUUGUAAAGUACUUUCAGCGGGGAGGAAGGUGUUGUGGUUAAUACCCGCAGCACUUGACGUUACCCGCAGAAGAAGCACCGGCUAACUCCGUGCCAGCAGCCGC